AGUAACACGUGACUACUACCCUUGAGUGGGGGAUAACCUAGGGAAACCUGGGCUAAUACCGCAUAAUACCUUCGGGUCAAAGGAGCAAUUCGCUUUAGGAGGGGGUCGCGGCGAUUAGUUAGUUGGCGGGGUAAUGGCCACCAAGACUGUGAUCGGUAUCCGGCCUGAGAGGGCGCACGGACACACUGGAACCGAAACACGGUCCAGACUCCUACGGGAGGCAGCAGUGGGGAAUUUUGCGCAAUGGGGGAAACCCUUGACGCAGCAACGCCGCGUGGAGGAUGAAGCCCCUUGGGGCGUAAACUCCUUUCGAUCGGGAAGAUAAUGACGGUACCGAGAGAAGAAGCCCCGGCUAACUUCGUGCCAGCAGCCGCGGUAAUACGAGGGGGGCGAGCGUUGUUCGGAAUUAUUGGGCGUAAAGGGUGCGUAGGCGGUUCAGUAAGUCUUGUGUGAAAUCUUCGGGCUCAAUCGAAGUCUGCAUGAGAAACUGCUGGGCUUGAGUAUGGGAGAAG
rnacentral:rRNA from 1 species